ensembl:lncRNA
UGGUAAAAAUGCAAACGUUUAUUUCUCCCUCCAAAUUAGCCCGGUUAGUUGAGGCCUAACUCUCUGCCUGGCUCCAAGAGCCCUUGCAGCUUUGUCCUUGGCUUCUGCCUCUGCUUUCUUCAGCCUCCAGCCAGCACCAAGGUAGAAGAUGCAAUGGAUCUCUCUUGCCUCAAAGAUAGGGCUUGUAGGCUUUCUUCCAGAGUGUUCCGCUCUGACCCCAGUCAACAUUCCCCCCAAACCCCCUUGAGUCGCUCACUGGAGCUGUAUUUAUGCUACUUCUCUGAGAGUGGGAUUGUGGGAUAUCUCCCAGCAUGCUCUCUGAAAUCUCCCAAGCAUGUGAACUCCAUUGAGUUCUUAGAUACUUAUGAGCUCUCCAAAGGUGUGAACACAAGCAUUGUUUCCAUCAGUUGUACUUAGUACCUAGUUCAAGUUCUGGCCCAAAAUAACUCUUUCUAAGAUCAAAUCAACUCCAAUGGCUUAACACUUUGUAAAGAUUCCAACACUCCAGAAAAACACUGGUAAAGCCAUGUGGAGGCAGGGCACCGGGGAGGCUGUGAGUGCCCACGGGCUUGCCCAGGGAGCUGGGCUCUGUCCGGGGUAGCCAUGUGCCCAAGGCUGCGCCAGCAUCUGCUUAGGUUCACCUCCCAGGGCAUGGGCACGGGGGGGGGGGAGCGGGGUGCACCCCCAACACUUGACUCCGGGUGGGGGCUCCGCCCACUGGCACGAGCCCCUUCUAAAGUAGUCGGGCCCCGGGGCGCUGAGGGUUGGGCCCCCACGUGUGACUUCACUACUUCUCUCAACAAGGGCCCAAAGGACCGAGGGCCGGUAUCUGAAUAGUCCCCCCCAGCAGGCCCCUGGUUCCAGGGCUGACCUUGAUGGCUGGAGGCAGUCCUCCCCAAGCCCUCCGAGACAGUCACAAGAAAUCCCCAGAGAAGUCAGCCUCCGGCCCUGGCUGAGGGUUUCACUCACUGCCCCAAAGCCCGGCCCUGACAGGGGCCCUUCUGCCGCCUCCCCCACGGCCCCUUCAAUAUGGCCUCAGACAGGGACCAGCUGUGAGACCCUGCACGGGCCCUGACUUGUUUGCCUCAGUUUCCUCAGCUGUAAAGUGGAGAUCCUGACCACGCCAUGUCCCAGGGUUGUGAGGCUCCAGGGAGAUCAUGUUUGUAAAGUCCCGUUACAGCCGCCCUUUAAGCCCACUAUUAUCAUUAUACCCAGACCCCUCUGGGGCUGCCCCCAUCCAGCCGCCCUGCAGCCCAGCCUCCCCCCCACCCCGCCCUGUGUCCCCGUGUCCGGGACUGGCUUUUCACUGACCUCGCGGAGCCCGGUCCGCACUGACCACAGGAUGGGGCCACGCAGGGGCUUUUGGCCCUCAGGCCUCCUCCACAUUCAGGACUGAGCCUUUGGGAGCCCAAGAUUUAGGAGGCUUCAGACAAAGGCCUCCUCCCGGUGGGAGUCUCUGGGGAAUGGCCCAUUGUCCCUGCUGGGGCAGGUGUUCUGGGAGGCUCUAGGAGCACUUGGAGCCUCUGGGAGCACUCGGAGCCUCUGGGAGCAACCCUAACCCCCUAGGAGCACUCCCAGCCUCUGGGAGCACCCCUGAGCCUCUGGGAGCACCCCCAGCCUCUGGGAGCACCCUGCCACUUUACAAAACAGCCAACACAUAUUGGCCUAAAUUAAGCCAUCCAUUGCCUGGUUAUAAACAGAUCUCUUUGUAGGGAAGCUCAACCCUUGCGGGAAAGCAGGGGGGGGGAGGGGGGAUGGCCCCCACAUCCCCAGGCUGACAUCCUUCGGCUGCUUCUGGAGAGCCCCCCCCCCCCCACCGGGCACUUCCACCCCUCUGCUCCGAGGCCCUUCUGGCCCUUCUCUGGGCUCUCUCCCCAAAGCUCCCUUUCCCAACAGUCAGUGACUUGUCAGGGGGAGGGGGACAGGAAGGUUCCCCACCCCCACCCCCACUUCCCUCGGAGCAGGGACUCAGAGCAGCGGCAGGGGCAGGGUGACCAUGGAGCCCCUGGGGUGUCCCGGGGGCCUUCCCUGGGCUUCCUCAGAAGCACAGGGCAGGAGGAGGUCCCCGCCCCUCCCUCCCUGAAGGAGAGGGGACCCCAGGUCCCCAGAGUCCCGGCUGCCGGUCCCGGGGGGGGGCUGCCGGCUCCCCUUCCCCACUUCCCAGGUAGCUCCUCUCUCGCCCCCCUCACACGCCCCUUGAUUUUUAAGAAGAAAACGCCACGUCCCCCAAAAGUUCCUAGAGAACCGUCAGACGCGAUGCUGCGGAGGAGGCUCAGGAGGGACCUGGAGGCUCGGGAGGCGGCGCCGGCGCCAGGUGGGGCCGGGGCGCGAGGCUGAGGGGCGUAGCGGGCUCCUCGGCCCCAGAGUCGGUCAGCGAGGCCGGGGCCGGCGCGGGGGGAGCGGCUCCUUCAGCUCCCAGCCUCCCCCAGGCGCCCCGUUACUUAGUGGCUUCAUAAGGGACUGGCAGCCCUAAGCCGGGGCUGGGGGCGGGCGCCCUGCCAGGGGCUCUGGGAGGCGAGAAGCCUCUGGGGGCCCGGCCCGGCCGGACAAGGGCUCGGGAAAGGGGAAGGCCGGGCUUCUGGAGGGGAGCGGGAAGGCCUUUUAGGGGAGGCCCAGAUUCCAGGUUAGGAGCUGCUGGGAGGAGGAGAAGGAGCCUGGCCAGGCCCGGGCAGCAGGGAGCUCCGUGCGGCCGGUGGCGAUCCUCCUGGAUCCCGCCGGGUCCCAUCAGAUCCCGCCGGGUCCCGCCAGAUCCCACUGGGUCCCAUCAGAUCCCACCGGGUCCCGCCAGAUCCCACCGGGUCCCGCCAGAUCCCACCGGGUCCCGCCAGAUCCCACCGGGUCCCGCCAGAUCCCACCGGGUCCCGCCAGAUCCCACAGGGUCCAGUUGGGCUCGGGCUGAGUGUCUGCGGUUGUCUCAGAGAUAGCCAUCCGAGGGUGGAGAGAACCUCCUCAGGAAGCCCACCCCUCAGGGCCAGUCUCACCUCCUUAAAAGGGCAAUGCUCACUGGGGCCAGUCUCACCACAUGGAAGGGGUUAAGCCCUCUGGAGCCAGUCUCACUUCCUUAAAGGGGCCACGCCCUCUGGGGCCAGUGUCACCUCCUGGAAGGGGCCACGCCCUCUGGGGCCAGUCUGAUCUCCAUAAAGGGGCCACACCCUCUGGGGCCAGUGUCACCUCCUGGAAGGGGCGCCACGCCCUCUCAGACCGGUCUCACCUCCUUUAAAGGGCAAGGUCCUCUGAGGCCAGUCUGACCUCCUGUAGGGGGCCACGCCCUCUUGGGUCAGUCCCACCCAAUAGAUGGGGCCACGCCCUCUGGAGCUAGUCUCUACUCCUUAAAAAGGCAAUGCCCUCUGGGGCUAGUCUCCCCUUCUGGAAAGUGCCACCCUCUCUGGCGUCAAUCGCACCUUGGAAUGGGCCACGUGGGGCUGGUCUCAUUUCCUCCUGUAUGGGGCCACGCCCUGUGGGAUAGUGUCAUCUCCUCUCCGGGGGUCACACCCUGUAUCAAAAUGAGCCGGUGGAGAAAAGAUGCUGAGGGCUGCGGAAUGGCCUUUCCAUCCCUCUUCUGACUGCAGGCAGGGAAUUCAGAGCAGAAAUCAGGGAAGGCUGGCUUUUGGGCUCCCUUUUUAGGGGGUGCUCAUAGGUUGGGGUGAGGGGAUGGUCAAACAGCCUUCCACUUGGGUAGGUGGCACCGUGGCAACGGAUGAUGGCGCUUUGCAGAUGGGGAUUCCCAUUUUGAUUCCCAGGAGAGCGAUCCUGGGAUGGACAGAGACCACAACAAAUGGUGAAGGGGCAGAGUCCCAAGGUCUCGGUGUAAAUGAUGGAGCUUCUUCAGAGUGGGCCAGCUCUGCACCAUCGGCUCCUUUUGCCGGGUCACUCGGGCAAUCAGUAUUUAUUAAGCACCUACUGUGUGUGACAGGUCUCUGAUAAGUGCAAUUACUUUCCAAGGGGUAGAAAGAACUGACAGGAAAGAUUGAUGGCCGCGUUGCUGCCAAUGAUUGGUGACGAGAGAGUCGCCAUGAGGUUGGAGAAGGACGGGUCACUCCGAUGGUCAGAAAGGAUCUGUAGGCCAGAAAGCUGGGCUCCCCCUCCUGCUGAUCAUGCUCUUGUAGGGUUGGCGGGGACAGCAAAGGGAAGCUCUUUUUAUUUGCCACCAUUUGCACAGCUCACACUAGGUGAACAAAAUAUCAUUAGACAAGAAGAUGAUAGGACAUUCAGGUGGAGCUAAAAAUUAAUUUCUCCUGGGGUCAUGUAGGGGGAAGAGAGAGAGAGAGAGAGAGAGAGAGAGAGAGAGAGAGAGAGAGAGAGAGAGAAAGAAAAAGAGAGAGAGACAGAGACAAAGAGAGACACAGAGACACAAAAAGGAAGAGAGAGGAGAGGGACAGAGAAUGUGAAGAUGGAGGAGAAAAACAGUAUUAAAAGAAGAGAAAAGGAGAAAAAAAGAGGGAGACAAGGAAGGGCAGAAGGAGAGAUAGAGGAGAGAAAGAAAGAGAGGAGGGAGAGAAUGAAAGAAGUGAAGGAAGGGAAUAGAGAGCCAGGGAGGGGGAGAGAGACAGAAAGGAGAAGGAAGAGGAGAAAUGGAGACAGAACUACAGCCUCACUUUACUCCUUCUCAGUUCCCCCGCAAGCCCAUCUUCUGACAGAGUUCCUCUCCAAGCCAGAGAACGCAACAAAACCACUGUUGCUGCCCCUUACCCCCUCCUACCUCCAGCCUUCCAUGUUUGUGGCUGUCUGCUUCUUGAGAAAGGCUCUCCCCAUCACCCUCGCAGGGGACUUGGCUCAUCCUCCGAGCCAGAUGGCUCUCUCUGGCCAAGAGAAUCCCUGGCCCUGGCCCAGCCUCCAAGGUCUUUCUGCUUUUCCUUCGAGGCCCAGGGGGCGGGCCUGGAGGCACUCUCUGCAUGAUGGGCACAGGGGGCAGGGGCCCUUCCUUGCCUCAGUUGUGGGCCUGGAAUCCUGGGCUGCUCUCAAUGGCUGUCGGUGCUUGUGAGCACCCGCUCCUGGAACCCCAACUGGGUGCGUGCCCCUGUCUUAGGGGCUGUGUUCAGGGGGAGACUCCCACCUUUGGCCCAAGCCCGGCAGCCCCCUCCGGUGCAGCUCCGAGAAAGCGCCAUCUUGGAAGCACGUUUGAGCUUGGUCUGGACUAAGCACCCGCCGGGCCGGGCAAAGAGCCAGAGGCGGCGAGAGGCCGCAGACUCAGGCCUUGGGAGGUCAGCCUCCUCCUGGACGGCCUUGGGCGGGCUCCCGGCUCGGGGCCCAGGAGACCUCACGCCUCUGCCCGCCGCUCAGAGGGGCAAGGCCUAGGGUUACAGAACAUGGCACCGGGCCGUUAAUGCCCAGGCAGGGGCGGGCGGCCGCGGGCGACCCCCAGUGCCAGGGAGACACUGAGCGCCCCGGGGCUCACCGGGCUCCGGCACAUCUGCAGCGUCGCUCAGCGCUCCGGCCCUACAGGGUGAGAGCGUCUCUGCGCAAAGGGCUCCUUGUAAACCCGUUCUGCCUCUGCCUUUGGCGCAGCAGCAGGGGUGGGGACUCUCCCAUUGCCCCCAGGCUUCUCUAUCUCCCUCCGCAGACGAGCCGGGUCCUGCCCCGUGUCCCGGGGCCCGCCGGGAGCCCCAAGCGCCCCAGCCCGGACUCCCAGCUGCCCGCGGCCGGCGGGGCCCCCUCCCUCCCCUCGCCUUAACUUCCCUAAGCUUCUGCUUUCUGGGGGUCCCGGGAUGCCCAGAUUUCACCUCGGGCUACGCCCCUCAAUCCUCCCCCAAAGACUCGCUACUAACAAGCUCUAACCUGGGCGGCCCCACCCCGCCCGGCCCGGCCCGGCCCGGCCCGGUUAACUGGUUCCGGCCACUUUUUGUCCAGGGAAUUUUUUCCUUACGCCCAGUCGCCCCCCCCCCCCGAAACCGAAGUAAAAGGGCCCCCCAGGGAGGGAGAGGGGGCCUGCGGAGGGUCGUGCUUCUGGGGCGGGGCCCCACCGCUGCCUCCCGGAGCCGGAGCAUCAGGGAACCUGGCCAGGCCCAGAGCCUGGCGCCUCCCCGCAGGGGCCCAGCUUCCCGGCCCUCCCGGGCCCUCCGGCGCUCCCUGCCCAGCGUCUCCCGGGCUGCGCCGCCCCCUCCGGCCCCACGCGGGCCCCGGCUCCAGACCUUCCUCACGCCUCCGCGCAGGGCUGGGGGAAGUGGGGGCGGCGGAGGGGAGGGCGGCCAGCAGCCUCGGCCCCACCUGGCUCCCUCCCCCAGCCUGGCUCCCUCCCCCACCCCUGGCUCCCUGCCCCCACCCCUGGCUCCCUGCCCCCAGCCUGGCUCCCUCCCCUGCCGCGGUUUCCGUUUCGGAGGGAGCGAAAGUGAAAGAGGAGCGGCUCCGGGGCGGGGCGGGAGGGAGUGGGACCGGCCGGGCCGCGGGCAGUGCGGCAGACCCAGGGACCCACGGACGGGGCGGCCCAGGAGCGUCCUCCCGCGGCCCCGCGGACUGUUAGACGGCCGCCGGCCUGCGGGGCCAUGGGAGUCCCGGGCCUGGGCGCCCUGAUGCUCUGCUGGGCCGCGGCCACCUGCGCCGGUGAGCGCCGCUGCGGGGGGUGGUGGGGAGGGGCCGGGAGGUGUGUGCGCGCGAGUGUGUGAGUGUGAGGGGGUGUGUGUGUGUGUGUGAGUGAGUGACUAAGUGUGUGUGUGUGAGUGGGUAUAAGUUAUGUGAGUGUGUGUGUGAGUGUAAGUGACUAAGUGUGUGCGAGUGUGCGAGUGUGUGUGUGAGUGUGUGUGACUAAGUGUGUGUGUGUGAGUGGGUAUAAGUUAUGUGAGUGUGUGUGUGAGUGUAAGUGACUAAGUGUGUGCGAGUGUGUGUGUGAGUGUGUGUGUGUGGGUGUGUGUGUGUGAGUGGGUAUGUUAUGUGAGUGUGUGUGUGUAAGUGACUAAGUGUGUGCGAGUGUGUGUGUGAGUGUGUGUGAGUGUGUGUGUGACUAAGUGUGUGUGUGUGUGAGUGGGUAUAAGUUAUGUGAGUGCGUGUGUGAGUGUAAGUGACUAAGUGUGUGCAAGUGUGUGUGUGUGUGUGACUGGGUGUGCCUGAGUGUAAGUGACUAAGUGUGUGUGUGAGUGAGUGGGUAUAAGUUAUGUGAGUGUGUGUGUGAGUGUAAGUGACUGAUUAUGUGAGUGCGUGUGUGAGUGUGUGACUGGGUGUGCCUGAGUGUAAGUGACUAAGUGUGUGUGUGUGAGUGGGUAUAAGUUAUGUGAGUGCGUGUGUGAGUGUAAGUGCGGGGUGUGCG